rnacentral:rRNA from 1 species
UGGGGAAUAUUGCACAAUGGGCGAAAGCCUGAUGCAGCAACGCCGCGUGAGGGACGACGGCCUUCGGGUUGUAAACCUCUUUUAGCAAGGAAGAAGCGAAAGUGACGGUACUUGCAGAAAAAGCGCCGGCUAACUACGUGCCAGCAGCCGCGGUAAUACGUAGGGCGCAAGCGUUAUCCGGAAUUAUUGGGCGUAAAGAGCUCGUAGGCGGUUUGUCGCGUCUGCUGUGAAAACCCGAGGCUCAACCUCGGGCCUGCAGUGGGUACGGGCAGACUAGAGUGCGGUAGGGGAGAUCGGAACUCCUGGUGUAGCGGUGGAAUGCGCAGAUAUCAGGAAGAACACCGAUGGCGAAGGCAGAUCUCUGGGCCGUAACUGACGCUGAGGAGCGAAAGGGUGGGGAGCAAACAGGCUUAGAUACCCUGGUAGUCCACCCCGUAAACGUUGGGAACUAGUUGUGGGGUCCAUUCCACGGAUUCCGUGACGCAGCUAACGCAUUAAGUUCCCCGCCUGGGGAGUACGGCCGCAAGGCUAAAACUUGAAAGGAAUUGACGGGGUCAUAGCU